rnacentral:rRNA from 2 species
GGAGUCUAGCAUGUGCGCGAGUCAUUGGGACACGACUAAACCUAAAGGCGCAAUGAAAGUGAAGGUCCGCCUCGCGCGGACCGAGGGAAGAUGGGCGUCCCGCUUCGCGGCGGUCGUCCCGCAUUCCCGGGGCGUCUCGUUCUCAUCGCGAGAAGAGGCGCACCAAGAGCGUACACGCUGGGACCCGAAAGAUGGUGAACUAUGCCUGGUCAGGACGAAGUCAGGGGAAACCCUGAUGGAGGUCCGUAGCGAUUCUGACGUGCAAAUCGAUCGUCGGAACUGGGUAUAGGGGCGAAAGACUAAUCGAACCAUCUAGUAGCUGGUUCCCUCCGAAGUUUCCCUCAGGAUAGCUGGCGCUCGUCGCCAACGAGUCUCAUCCGGUAAAGCGAAUGAUUAGAGGCAUUGGGGCCGAAACGGCCUCAACCUAUUCUCAAACUUUAAAUGGGUGAGAUCUCCGGCUUGCUCGAACCGAUGAAGCCGCGAGACACGGAUCAGAGUGCCAAGUGGGCCAUUUUUGGUAAGCAGAACUGGCGCUGUGGGAUGAACCAAACGCCGAGUUAAAGCGCCUAAAUCGACGCUUAUGGGAUACCAUGAAAGGCGUUGGUAACUUAAGACAGCAGGACGGUGGCCAUGGAAGUC